UUUCCGUAGGUGAACCUGCGGAAGGAUCAUUCCUAAUAUGUGUUUUAUGGCACUCUUUCAAUCCAUAUCCUCCUUCUUUGCCAUGUCAGUCGUUCUCUUCUCGGGGACCGACCAAACAUCAACCAACACUUUAACUCUGUGUCUGACAAAUAUUACGACUAAAAUAAUUAAAAAUACAACUUUCAACAACGGAUCUCUUGGCUCUC
rnacentral:misc_RNA from 1 species